rnacentral:rRNA from 1 species
UGGGGAAUCUUGCGCAAUGGGCGAAAGCCUGACGCAGCGACGCCGCGUGGGGGACGAAGGCCUUCGGGUUGUAAACCCCUUUCGGCAGGGACGAAGCGAUCGUGACGGUACCUGCAGAAGAAGCUCCGGCUAACUACGUGCCAGCAGCCGCGGUAAGACGUAGGGAGCGAGCGUUGUCCGGAUUCAUUGGGCGUAAAGAGCGCGCAGGCGGUUUGGUAAGUCGGAUGUGAAAUCCCGGAGCUCAACUCCGGACCUGCAUCCGAUACUGCCCGACUAGAGGUAGGUAGGGGAGAUCGGAAUUCCUGGUGUAGCGGUGAAAUGCGCAGAUAUCAGGAGGAACACCGGUGGCGAAGGCGGAUCUCUGGGCCUUACCUGACGCUCAGGCGCGAAAGCUAGGGGAGCGAACAGG